GGGGAAUAUUGGACAAUGGGCGAAAGCCUGAUCCAGCCAUGCCGCGUGAGUGAAGAAGGCCUUCGGGUUGUAAAGCUCUUUCGCAAGGAAAGAAAACUUAUCUACUAAUACUAGAUGAGGAUGACGGUACCUUGAUAAGAAGCACCGGCUAACUACGUGCCAGCAGCCGCGGUAAUACGUAGGGUGCAAGCGUUAAUCGGAAUUACUGGGCGUAAAGCGUGCGCAGGCGGUUUUGUAAGACAGUGGUGAAAUCCCCGGGCUCAACCUGGGAACUGCCAUUGUGACUGCAAGGCUGGAGUGCGGCAGAGGGGGAUGGAAUUCCGCGUGUAGCAGUGAAAUGCGUAGAUAUGCAGAGGAACACCGAUGGCGAAGGCAAUCCCCUGGGCCUGCACUGACGCUCAUGCACGAAAGCGUGGGGAGCAAACA
rnacentral:rRNA from 1 species